rfam:Phenylobacterium sp. Root1277 contig_2, whole genome shotgun sequence.
CCAGACGGCCGGGCGAUCGCGGUUGCCUUGCGGCAGUCGAGGAAAGUCCGGGCUCCACUAUGACAUGGCGGCGGGUAACGCCCGCCGGGGGCGACCCCAGGGAUAGCGCCACAGAGAGCAGACCGCCCCGGUUUCGACCGGGGUAAGGGUGAAAGGGUGGGGUAAGAGCCCACCGCGGGCCUGGUGACAGGAACGGCAUGGCAAGCCCCGCCAGGAGCAAGACCGAAUAGGGAUUCCGCGCCCCGCAAGGGGUAGGGCCGUCAUAGGCCUGAGGCGUCCGGGUAGGUCGCGAGAACCGUCCAGCAAUGGGCGGUCCAGAGGAAUGAUCGUCGCGCCCGUUCGCGGGCGGCACAGAACCCGGCUUACAGGCCGUCUGGUCCA